UAGUUGGCCAUAAAUGAAGCAACAAGACGGGACGGGGAAUGAUGUCACUUGAAUUUAGUGACGUGAAUGACGCUCGCUAUAAAAACAGUUAGAAAACCUCAAACUAUUAGAACAACCCGCUCGCUCAUUCAUUGUAAUAUCUCUCUGUUACUAACAUAAAGAAGCAAGCAAUAUGAACAAUGGAAAUAAUGGAGAUGGUGACUCACAAGGCGGGCAUGGCUGGUGUAUCAUUUUAUAAUGAAUUGAACUGAUACUUUUGUUACUUUAAUGCUGUUUUCUUAGUUAUAAUACUAGUAAGGUAUCAUUGUCAUUAUAAGCUACUCCUACUGACUGGAGUUAGGUAGGAACAUUGAAUACGCUCUCAGGGACUAUAAACCAUAAACAAGUUAUGGUCAGCAACGCGUGAGGUAAAGGGGACUUUCCCGGGGAAAGUUUCGGCAAUUCGGAAGCAAUAACAAAUGAAUAACAAGUUGUGGGUGUUCUAACUAAAAGAGAUCACAGAAACAAAGGCUUCUGCCAAGCACAAAGCAUGUCAAAUGAUCAACUUUUAGUCUCUUAGUCAUAUAAACAUAAUUCUUUUAGUUCUGGAGAUGGUGACAAAGGAGGUGAAAACACAUGGUGUACCAUUUCAUAAAGAUAAUUUUGCUACUGAUGCUGCUUCUUUAUAUAAUGCAUUAAUGCUGUUUUUUAAAGUUAUAAUAUGCACAUGUAAAAUUAGUAAAGUCAUUGUGUGGAGUUGGUUCAUAAUUUCUGUUUGCAAAGUGAAGGCAUAAAAAGUUACCUACAAUGUACAUGUAGUUGGCCAUAAAUCAAGCAACAAAGCUUGUCAUAAUUAAGAGAAGGGAGGGAUAUGAUUAGAGUUGUGCAAUAUUAGCAAAUGUUAUAAUCAAUAAAUUUAUCUUUAUUUAUUUCAGUAUUACUACUAAAGACAUGUACCUAUUAAUUAUUAAUGAAAAUACCAUUAGUAAUAGUCAAUAAUACUAAAUAGGUAUACUGCCCAACGUGCAACCCCAGGAUCAGGAAUCGGGGAAGUUUAAAAUAGGGUUUGACCAAUGAGUAAACAGAGAGAGGGAGAGAGGGAGGGAGGGGGGAUGAAGUCAUCUAAAGGCCUUCACGUGAAUGGCUUUAUAAAAACAGCUAGGAAUAAUAGAAUAGUAGCCGGUUCCCCUAAUAGCUCUCUCUUAUUAGCAAACUAAUCAAUGAAAAGAAGCAAAAUGAACCGACCAAAGGGUAAGCCAAAGGAUCCACCAAAGCCAAAGGAUCCACCAAAGCCAAAGGAUCAACCAAAGCCAAAGGAUCCACCAAAGCCAAAGUCUGGAGAUGGUGACACAGGAGGUGGACACAAGCGGUGAAAAACUUCAUAAAGAUACUUUUGUUACUGGUGCUGCUUUCUUAUAUAAUACAUUAAUCCUGUUUCUUAAGUUAUAACAUAUACAUGUAAUGUUAGUAAAGUCAUUGUGUGGAGUUGAUUCAUAAUUUCUGUUUGCAGAGUAAAUGCAUAAAAAAAGUUAACGUGUAUUCGGCCAUAAAUCAAGCAACAAAGCUUGCCAUAAUUAAGAGAAGGGGGGGCAUGAUAUCAUCUGAAGGUCUCACGUGAACGACACAAUAAAAACAGUCCAAAACCUCAAAUUAUUGGAAUAACUCCCUCGUUCGUUGUGAUAUCUCUCUCUUAUCGACGAAAAGAAUCAAACAAAAUGAACAAUGCACAUCAUGGAGAUGGUGACACACCAGGCAAGCACCAUUGGUGCAUUAUUUUAUAAAGAAAUGAACUGAUACUUUUUGUUACUCGUUAAUCCUGUUUCUUUUAGUGCUGUUUUCUUAGUUUAGUAAAGUACCAUAGUCAUUAUAAAUUACUCCUACCAAUUGGAGUUGUGUUGUAUAACUUGUAUUGCCAAACUUUUUGUUAUCAAACUAAACCCAAUUACUCAUAACCAAGAGAAAACCCUCGGCAAGCAAAGUGAAGGUACUAAGUUAGCUGGGCUGUAAAACUAUUCCGCCCUAAAUGAGCAACAAAGCUUACCAUUAAGAGAAGGGGAGGGACAUGAUGUCAUUUGAAGAUCUCACGUGAACGACACAAUAAAAACAGCUCAAAACCUCAAAUUAUUAGAAUAGCCCCAUCGUUCAUUGUAAUAUCUCUCUCUCUUAAUAUUGCUCUCUUAUUUACAAAAAGAAGUGAACAAAUGAAUAACGGAGAUAAUGGAAGUGGAGAUCCAGGAGGUGGGCAUAAAUGGUGUGUGAUUUUAUAAAGAAAUGAACUGAUACUUUUGUUACCUGAUAAUGUUUUUUCUUAGCUACAUUUAAUGCUGUUUUCUUAGUUAUAAAAUUAGUAAUAUAACACAGUCAUUAUAAGCUAUUCCUACUGACUAUAAUAUGGUUGGCCUAUAAUUGUUUUUGCUUGUCAAACUAAACAUCAUGGCCAAAUAUUAUCAAGAUGUGAGAGGGAUUAUAACUAAGAGAAAAUCCUACGUAAGCAAAGGGAGUAUACUAAAAAGCUAUUUGGGUUGUGAAACUAGUUGGCCAUAAACAAAGCUUGCCAUUAAGAGAAGGGAGGGACAUGAUGUCAACUCAAGUCUCACGUGAACGAUACAAUAAAAACAGUUUGAAACCUCAAACCAUUAGAAUAACUCGCUCGCUCAUCGUGAUAUCUCUCUCUUAUAAAGAAGCAAACGAUAUGAAGAACAAUGGAAAUAAUGGUGGAGAUGGUGCCACACAAAGUGGGAACACAUGGUGUAUCAUCUUAUAACUGAAACUUUUGUUACCUGUUAAGUCUAUUUUCUUUUUAGGCUGUUUUUUAGUUGCAAUAUUAGUAAAAUACCAUAGUCAUUUCAUUAUAAGUUACUCCUACUGAGUACUAAUUGGAGUUGUAUUGUGUAACUCAAAUUGUUCGUUUUGUCGUAUAACUUGUUUUGUUCAUCAAGCUAAGGUCCAAUAAGUACAUCAUGACCAAAAGAAAACCCUAGAGCUACAGGAAAAGUUAGGGUACUAAGUUAACUGCUAUGGGCUGUAAAACUAUCUAAGCCAUAAAUGAGCAACAAAACUUGCCAUAAAAAGAAGGGAGGGGCAUGAUGUCAUCUGAAGUCUCACGUGAACGGAGCACUAAAAACAGUUUGAAAACCUCAAAUCAUUAGACUAACUUGCAUACUCAUUGCAAUAUGAAUCAAGUAAAAGAAUUACAAAUGAACAAUGGAAAUAAUGGAGAUGGUGGCUCAGAAGAUGGGGGUUCACGUGGAAAUUGCAUCAUUUUAUAAAGAAACAAACUAGUACUUUUAUACCUGCUGUGCUGCUAAUGCUGUUUUCUUAGCUAUAGUACAUUAAUGCUGUUUUCUUAGUCAUAAUAUUAGUAA
rnacentral:lncRNA from 1 species